UACGGAGGAUCCGAGCGUUAUCCGGAUUUAUUGGGUUUAAAAGGGUGCGCAGGCGGGAGAUUAAGUCGGCGGUGAAAUUUUGCAGCUCAACUGUAAAAGUGCCUUCGAAACUGGUUUCCUUGAGUGUAGAUGAAGUAGGUGGAAUUUGUGGUGUAGCGGUGAAAUGCAUAGAUAUCACGAGGAACUCCGAUUGCGCAGGCAGCUUACUGGGAUGCAACUGACGCUGAGGCACGAAAGCGUGGGUAUCAAACAGGAUUAGAUA
rnacentral:rRNA from 1 species